GGAUUACAGGCGUGAGCCACCGCGCCCGGCCAGAUUAAGCUAUUUUCAAAGUUUGGAAUGUUGUUCCUGCUUCCCAGUAGGACAGAAGCUUGGGAGCAAAAUUAGGUAAGUUACAUACAAUUAAGAAGCUCCAUUAACAAAAUGCCUGAGCAGAGCUGUGUACAUUCUCAGCCCUAGAGAGUCCUGGCUCAGGUGCAGGUGGAGGGUGGGGGACACUGCUCCUCCUGCCCUGCCAGCAGCGAGCAAGUCACACCCCCAGCAGACACAUGGGGCCCGAUUGGCCAAUCAGAAGAUCCCUUCCUCCAGUCAGGGCUCAGCAUGCCACUCCAUAGGGACAUUUUCUUCCCCUGAAAAAGAGAUUCCUCCUUUACAUAGGGGGGAGUUGGUAAACCAAGAACUGCUGGAGGCCACUCCAUGAGCCGAG
rnacentral:lncRNA from 1 species